GAGACCUGAUGCGGCGUGCCCUCCCUGAUCACUUAAAAAAAAUUAAACAAAGUCGGUAAACAGGGUUGGAAACAAGAACGAAAUAGAAGGAGAAGUCAAAUCCUCACCUGUUUCAGGCCUACGACCAUGCCUCUCUUAGAAAGAUGUCCACGUGCGUAUUCCCACUAUAUGUGGAAGCACGGCCUCAACCCACUCACGUAUCCCAUGCUGCAGAGCUGGUGGCGACCUGUCGGCUACAAAAUUAUCACAAGUUAACGCUUAGGAGCACAAGACGUAAGGAGGUACAAAAAAGAGAAUUCAACAACUAAAAAAGUUACGUGCAUAGUUCUAAGUCUUUG
rnacentral:lncRNA from 1 species